GUUCGAAUGUUCAAUAGUUCACAAUGGCACGUGAUCGUAUAGUUUUAUAAAUGUUCAGUCCUUAUGGAUUACGUUCGGAUAUUAAGCGCAUGAUUUCCAGCCUACCCACGAUGGGGAAGACCUUGGCGGAAUCUCCGGUACCAAUAGCUUGUACCAAUCUGUCCUCCUUCAAGUCCAAAGCUGGAUCUUAUAUAGUCCAAUGGUCCAUACACAUGUCUAUAGCUGUAGGCCGGUUGUAUAAUCGUCUGGUUAUCGAGUACUAUUUACAUGAGGUUAAUUGUCAAAUAAUGUAAUUAACCCCUAACGGAUAAAUGUUAUUUUAAAGUAAACAUGGUCAUUUAUGGGCUUCGGGGUAUAUAUGUCCAUAGUAUACGAACAGAUUGUUAUUAGUGUCCAAAGGUUUCCUGCUAUUUAAUGUAUUCACAGAUUGUUAUUAGUGUCCAAAGGCUUUCUGCUAUUUAAUGUAUUCACAGAUGGUUAUUAGUGUCCAAAGGCUUUCUGCUAUUUAAUGUAUUCACAGAUGGUUAUUAGUGUCCAAAGCAUACAUGAUUGUCAUUGAAUUGUUUAUUUCCUUUUUAAUAAAUUUCCUAAUUAAUACUCCUUGAUAAUUAAUUAAUGUUACCAAUUGUGUAACAUUAUUCCUUCCCUCGCAAUAAGAACGAAAGUUCGGAAAAUACGAUAAUCCUUCUUCAUUUAUGCUAUUGUAAAUCCAGUAGUUCCAUUGUUAAGUUUUUUUUUUGUAACCAUCACCACAUAUAUAGUUCAUAAAAUUCGGCAAGUCCAACAUCUGAAUAUAUUUACACAUAGGUCAUUUGAAAAUAUUUCGAUAUACAUAGUUCGUGUUUUAUUUCCGUCACCAUCAAAGUUAAAAGU
rnacentral:lncRNA from 1 species